rnacentral:rRNA from 1 species
UGGGGAAUAUUGGGCAAUGGGCGAAAGCCUGACCCAGCAACGCCGCGUGAAGGAAGAAGGCCUUCGGGUUGUAAACUUCUUUUAUCAGGGACGAAGGAAGUGACGGUACCUGAUGAAUAAGCCACGGCUAACUACGUGCCAGCAGCCGCGGUAAUACGUAGGUGGCAAGCGUUAUCCGGAUUUACUGGGUGUAAAGGGCGCGUAGGCGGGGAUGCAAGUCAGAUGUGAAAUCUAUGGGCUCAACCCAUAAACUGCAUUUGAAACUGUAUCUCUUGAGUGUCAGAGAGGUAGAUGGAAUUCCUAGUGUAGCGGUGAAAUGCGUAGAUAUUAGGAGGAACACCAGUGGCGAAGGCGAUCUACUGGACGAUAACUGACGCUGAGGCGCGAAAGCGUGGGGAGCAAACAGGAUUAGAUACCCUGGUAGU